ensembl:lncRNA
AGUCACUCAGAGUAUACUUUGUCCUCUUUAACACAAAGAGGCAGACACUCUUCUCAUCAGUUGGCAUGCUGUUAUAAAAAUGUUGGGUUGAGUCUUGAAAUACUCCAUUUAUAUGAUUGGCUACUAGCCAUUUAAUGCGGUAAGACAAGCCUGCCUGAACCCUCAAAGCAGCGCCUUUGAAAUCUCCCGACUCGGGAAAUGUCCAUGGACUUGGCGAUCUAGUACCCAGGACCCCAUCUUCCUAAGGGCCAUCUUUUCAUCUCCCGCAGGCUCUAAGAGGGAAUUGGCCGAAGAAAGUAAAAUUGCUUUCAUAGAAGCUGGCAUGCCCUGAGGUGAAACGAUGGAGGCGUUGGAAGCACCAAUAUGCUCAUCAUGAUUGCUUUUAAAAUGCUCUCCACUGGAAUUCGGCGAAUGUUUUCUGCGUAACAGUCUGUGCUGGGCCAUGUGCUAGACCACGAUGGGGCGGAGAUGCUGCACCUGCCAGUCGUGUGCUGGAGCCCAUCGUUUCACAUUCAGGAGCUCUGUGAAGUGGCUGGUAACUUGAAAUCAGUGGCGGUGAGCAUAUUUACACGGAUCAAAUCAGAAUAUGGUACAAAUCAGGCUGCCACACUCCAGAACAGAUUUAUGAAAUGAGCGCUGACUCAGCCCUCAAGAUUCUCAGUCUUGUCAAAGGUCCAACAGACUCAAUUCAACUCCAUCUAACAAGUACUAAAAUAAAGGACCCCCGAGAAGAGCUCAGAGAUGAGGUUGGACCAGGAAAGCAGAAGGAGGAACAUCAGUUGAGAAUGCGACAGAUUCACCGCCAUGGAUACUACUGGGCGUCUUUAAGUACCUAUACAUGCAGAGCAGCACCGUAUGAUGAGAAAGCCAGGGAGAGCAAUCACAGAAAUAGCACAAAUAAAUAAGUGCUCUGCGUCUUCUCCUUCCUCUCCAGCAUUUCUCCACUAGUGCUAGCUUCAAGAACGCUAAAGAAGGGCUGACAUUUAACAGAUGCUGAAGGUGUAGAAGGAAUUUACACACUCACUUAAAAACGUUUGCUAAAUACACAGUUCCUUUGAUUACCAACGGAUAAAAUGCAAGAUGAAAAUAUAUCAUUAUUUAAUGGGAACACUAAUGCCAUGGAUGUUCCUUACUUCUCUUUUCAAAAUCAGGGAUUAAAGAUCCCAGAAGACCAGCUUCCAAAAUGCCAAGAAACUAAUAAAUGACUCUGACAAGUGACUUUGUAAAAAUAA